GGAAGCCGUGGAAGCGCCCGCCCCCGCUGCCAGAAGAAAGCUGCCGUGAUGGUGGAUGGUCUCACUGAUUUUUCAGCCGGCUUCCAGCAGCAGCAACCUGAAGCUCCGGCUGGAGCAGUGAGUCCCCCUCCUUUCUCCCUCCACCCCCUCCUUCUCGUACCCCCCCUCGGGAGGGGGGGGGUGGUCAGAUUGGGGGAGGGGCAUGCACUGUCCGGCCUUCUCCGUCCCACCCCCGCUCCACCUCCUCCCUCCUUUCCCCGCCCCUCCCCCGCGGGGGGUCCCCCGAUUCCAAGAAUUCUCGGGCCUUGCCUGGACUCCCAUCCCACUUUCCUUUUGGCCCCACGGAGGGGGAGUUCCUUCUCUGCUUGGGAAGGACUGGCCCUGGCUCCCUCCGAGUAAAUCCUUGGCAGCUUCAGCAUCUAGUUGCCAGAGCCUGGGUAGAAGAGCAAAGCUGAGAGACUCCUGGGCCAGAGCCGGAGAAUGAGCGUCCGGCUGACUGCCAGGAUAGGCAAUCCAGUUCUAGUUUCUCUCCAGAAAAUACAGAAUUGACUUUUUUAGUUUGGAUGGUAAAACAUCAGGGGACCUAAGAAGAUGAAAGUCCAUAAGGAAAAGAAACUAAGAUGACUGACCCUGUCCUGAACAAGACCAUCUCCAUACUCUUAACCAGUGGUAUCUGUGGACAUAACUGUGUUACUUAAUACCUUUUGCUCUACUCCAGCUGCACAGUUCUUUGGUACUGGGCUUACUCUAGGAGUUGAAAGCAUCUCAAACUAUUUUAACAGAGCAAUUGAAACUCUCAGAAGAAAUUCUUGAAGCAGACCCUUGGUGAAGCACUUAAUAAUAAUAAAAAAUAUAUUAUACUUAUAAA